GUGCCAGCACCCUCGGGGAUUCCAGCUCCAAUAGCGUAUAUUAAAGUUGUUGUGGUUAAAAAGCUCGUAGUUGAACCUUGGGCCUGGCUGGCCGGUCCGCCUCACCGCGUGCACUGGUCCGGCCGGGCCUUUCCCUCUGUGGAACCCCAUACCCUUCACUGGGCGUGGCGGGGAAACAGGACAUUUACUUUGAAAAAAUUAGAGUGCUCCAGGCAGGCCUAUGCUCGAAUACAUUAGCAUGGAAUAAUAAAAUAGGACGCGCGGUUCUAUUUUGUUGGUUUAUAGGACCGCCGUAAUGAUUAAUAGGGACAGUCGGGGGCAUCAGUAUUCAACUGUCAGAGGUGAAAUUCUUGGAUCAGUUGAAGACUAACUACUGCGAAAGCAUUUGCCAAGGAUGUUUUCAUUAAUCAGGAACGAAAGUUAGGGGAUCGAAGACGAUCAGAUACCGUCGUAGUCUUAACCAUAAACUAUGCCGACUAGGGAUCGGACGGUGUUAUUCAUGACCCGUUCGGCACCUUACGAGAAAUCAAAGUGCUUGGGCUCCAGGGGGAGUAUGGUCGCAAGGCUGAAACUUAAAGAAAUUGACGGAAGGGCACCACCAGGGGUGGAGCCUGCGGCUUAAUUUGACUCAACACGGGGAAACUCACCAGGUCCAGACACAAUAAGGGAUUGACAGAUUGAGAGCUCUUUCUUGAUUUUGUGGGUGGUGGUGCAUGGCCGUUCUUAGUUGCGGGGUGACUUGUCUGCUUAAUUGCGAAACGGACGAGACCUUAACCUGCUAAAUAGUCCGCAUUGCUCCGGCAGUGCGCUGGCUUUCUUAGAGGGACUUUCGGCUCAAGCCGAAGGAAGUUUUGAAGG
rnacentral:rRNA from 1 species